GGAUUGUGGCUCAGCGGUGGAGUGCUCGCCUAGCAUGUGCGAGGCCCCAGGGUUCGAUCCUCAGCACCA
rnacentral:tRNA from 1 species